rnacentral:piRNA from 1 species
UAAUUGCCUUCAUGACGUCUUGGGA